rnacentral:rRNA from 1 species
GAUGAACGCUGGCGGCGUGCCUAAUACAUGCAAGUCGAGCGAACGGACGAGAAGCUUGCUUCUCUGAUGUUAGCGGCGGACGGGUGAGUAACACGUGGAUAACCUACCUAUAAGACUGGGAUAACUUCGGGAAACCGGAGCUAAUACCGGAUAAUAUUUUGAACCGCAUGGUUCAAAAGUGAAAGACGGUCUUGCUGUCACUUAUAGAUGGAUCCGCGCUGCAUUAGCUAGUUGGUAAGGUAACGGCUUACCAAGGCAACGAUGCAUAGCCGACCUGAGAGGGUGAUCGGCCACACUGGAACUGAGACACGGUCCAGACUCCUACGGGAGGCAGCAGUAGGGAAUCUUCCGCAAUGGGCGAAAGCCUGACGGAGCAACGCCGCGUGAGUGAUGAAGGUCUUCGGAUCGUAAAACUCUGUUAUUAGGGAAGAACAUAUGCGUAAGUAACUGUGCACAUCUUGACGGUACCUAAUUAGAAAGCCACGGCUAACUACGUG